UACGUAGGGGGCGAGCGUUGUCCGGAGUUACUGGGCGUAAAGGGCAUGCAGGCGGUCCGACACGUUUUGUGUGACAGCGGGUGGCUUAACUACCCGAGGAUACGAAAGACGGUUGGACUUGAGGACUCGAGAGGGACACGGAAUUCCGGGUGGAGUGGUGGAAAUGCGUAGAGAUCCGGAGGAACACCGAAGGCGAAGGCAGUGUCCUGGCGAGUGACUGACGCUGAGGUGCGAAGCCAGGGAGCGAACGGG
rnacentral:rRNA from 1 species